UGGCCCACUGAUUGAUGGUGCUUGCACCUGAUUGACGAUGGAUCACCAGUGAGUGGCGGACGGGUGAGUAACACGUAGGUAACCUGCCCCAGAGCGGGGGAUGACAUUUGGAAACAGAUGCUAAUACCGCAUAACAACAAAAGCCACAUGGCUUUUGUUUGAAAGAUGGCUUUGGCUAUCACUCUGGGAUGGACCUGCGGUGCAUUAGCUAGUUGGUAAGGUAACGGCUUACCAAGGCGAUGAUGCAUAGCCGAGUUGAGAGACUGAUCGGCCACAAUGGAACUGAGACACGGUCCAUACUCCUACGGGAGGCAGCAGUAGGGAAUCUUCCACAAUGGGCGCAAGCCUGAUGGAGCAACACCGCGUGAGUGAAGAAGGGUUUCGGCUCGUAAAGCUCUGUUGUUGGAGAAGAACGUGCGUGAGAGUAACUGUUCACGCAGUGACGGUAUCCAACCAGAAAGUCACGGCUAACUACGUGCCAGCAGCCGCGGUAAUACGUAGGUGGCGAGCGUUAUCCGGAUUUAUUGGGCGUAAAGCGAGCGCAGGCGGUUGCUUAGGUCUGAUGUGAAAGCCUUCGGCUUAACCGAAGAAGUGCAUCGGAAACCGGGCGACUUGAGUGCAGAAGAGGACAGUGGAACUCCAUGUGUAGCGGUGGAAUGCGUAGAUAUAUGGAAGAACACCAGUGGCGAAGGCGGCUGUCUGGUCUGCAACUGACGCUGAGGCUCGAAAGCAUGGGUAGCGAACAGGAUUAGAUACCCUGGUAGUCCAUGCUGUAAA
rnacentral:rRNA from 1 species